UACGUAGGGACCAAGCGUUGUCCGGAAUCAUUGGGCGUAAAGAGCGUGUAGGCGGCUUGUUAAGUCUUGCGUGAAAUCUCGGGGCUCAACCCCGAGCGGCCGUGAGAAACUGGCAGGCUAGAGUGCGGGAGAGGAGAGUGGAAUUCCUGGUGUAGCGGUGAAAUGCGCAGAUAUCAGGAAGAACACCCGUGGCGAAGGCGCUCUCUGGAACGCAACUGACGCUGAGACGCGAAAGCGUGGGGAGCAAACAGG
rnacentral:rRNA from 1 species